GUAUCUGCAAAAUAACUCUGGGGUAUGGCACAGGAUAUUAUGUAUAGAAAGUGAGAAAGACCUGAAGGUUCUUGGCUAUUUUGUUCCACCUGAUUUUUUGUUUGUUUGCUUCUGCAUUUUUAACUUCUCUGAUUAAAUUUGCUCUUUGGAAUUUAGGGAAGACUUGGGAGGUUAAAUAUUUUCUACAAACAAAAGGAGGGGAUACAGGAAUGUGUAUGUAUGUCCCCAGGAAGGCCCUGCAGUGUCCUGAUGAAACAAGAAAAAGAAGUGGAGAGAAGAGAGCAAAGGAGGGGAAGCAAAAGGAGAGUGAUACACUGGUGAUGGUCUCAUUCCUGAGCUAUUUAUUGAGGAACUGUUGUGCCAGGUACUGUGCUGGGUACUGGAAAAUCAGGAAAAUAUAACCAGGAGCUGGUCUGUCUUUAAAGGAUUGACUGUUUUCUGCUUUCUGUCUGUUUCAUUGCUGGAGAUUCUGAAUUUCCUGUGCAGAUGUGUUUAACAUUCAGCUAGGGAGAAGGCAGGGCAGGGUAGGGUGGAGAGGGCUGGGGACUCAGGCUGAGUGUACUCUGAUUUUUCACCUCGGCGCUUCUGAGGUUUUUCUGGCUUAUAGGAUAUAUUCCUUCAAUAUUCUCUUCAUCUGUUUUGAUGCCCUGAGCUUUAUCAUCUACCACUUCAAAAUGUGUAAGAGUACAGUUUUCUGCUGUCACAGCUGGGUGAAAUGGGGAGUACUUCCAGGCUAAGAAGCCAUAAACCCACAAUUCUUUCUUAGUGAAAUAGGGAUCUUUCACAUAUAAACACUUUUCAAGUCUCUUCUCACUUUGGUCAUUUUUAUUGUUUUCAAAUCAUUGCUUAGCAUAUUACUCAAGUUUUAUAAUUAUGAUCUAAUGGUUGAAUUGCCAGAUGUGUUUAUGUCAUCAUUAUUGCAAACCCUGCCCAUUUUUAUCCUGAACUACUUCUUUUAAAGAAAAGAUAAUCAAGUGUUUUAUUAAAUAUUGGAUUUUCAUCUGAAGAAUUGCUGAGUUCCUACUAGAUUUUCACAAUUUACUUAGAAUCCAUAUUUACCCAGACAUAUAGCUAUAAUAUUCUUCUAGUAGGGGAAACAUCCCAGAGUUGCUUUUCUUUGUCCAUUGUAUAUGACAAAAGUAAUUACAAUGACUAGAUUUAAAUAUGUCCCAGAAAGAAAUAUUUUAAAAACAUUCAAAAAAUUUAAAUGUACUGAUAUUGGAUGGCACUUUUCACAAAUAGCUAAGACUAGCGAUAAUAUCCCAGAAGAAUAAAAAAUGCGAAAAGAAUCAGUUAUAACAAUAUCCAAUUAUGUAAAAUUAUAUGUGUAAUCAUAUAUUACUCCAACAAUCCCUUAUCUGAAAUCCCUGGGACCAGAUACAUUUCAAAAUUCUGAAAGUUUAUAUUUUACAAAAGUAAUACCAUGUUAUUUCAUGUUUUAAGAAGUGCUUGGGGCAGCACACUAUAAUCAAACACAUUAAUACUUUUGCUGUGAAAUGUAUGAAUAUCAUAUUAAUGGAAAGAAUGGUAAGCCUGUAAGUUCAUGUCAGCACUUAUCAGAAUUUGUCACAAAUGAUUUAAAUAAAAUUUUUGUUUGUGGGGAGUACCCAUUGUGGCUCAGCGGAAACAAAUCUGACUAGCAUCCAUGAGGACGUAGGUUCGUUCCCUGGCAUUGCUGUGAGAUGUGGUGUAGGUUUCAGACUUGGCUCAGAUCUGGCAUUGCUGUGGCUGUGGUGUAGGCCAGUGGCUACAGCUCCAAGUAGCCUGGGAACCUCCCUACACUGCAGGUGUGGCCCUAAAAAGACAGAGGAAAACUUCCAUAUGCUGCAGGUGUAGCCCUAAAAAGAGAAAAAAAA
rnacentral:lncRNA from 1 species